rnacentral:lncRNA from 1 species
ACUCGAAUUACCUUUAAUAAUUUAUUAAAAUGCAAUGAUGAGGGUAAUACAUUUUUUAGUUGAAUUUACAAAAUAUGUAAAUUAAAAUAAUGAUAAGUGUUAUGAAUAAGAUAUUAAUUUAUGCAUUAUUUAGCACUUAUCAGGAAGGCGUGCCGUUGAUCAAGAUAGAAAACUUCGACCCCCGGACGCACCCCAACACCCACUCAA